UUGCACCUACCGAAGACUAUCAAACUCCGAAUGCCGUCAUCUUAUACUUGGGAGUCAGACUGUGGGUGAUAAGAUUCAUAGUCGAAAGGGCAACAGCCCAGAUCGUCAGCUAAGGUCCCUAAAUGUACGUUAAGUGGUAAAGGAUGUGGGAUUGCACAGACAACCAGGAUGUUGGCUUAGAAGCAGCCACUCAUUCAAAGAGUGCGUAAUAGCUCACUGGUCGAGUGAUCCUGCGCCGAAGAUUUCCGGGGCUAA
rnacentral:rRNA from 1 species